CCAUUUGAUAUUGUCUUACAUUAGUGUAGAACUAAAAAGUCACUUUGAGGAAUGAAGUUAACUGGAACAAUCCCUGUUAUAUAUCCCAUAGCAGAUGCAUGUUGGGGAAAUUUGUAGAAAACAUUAUUUAGAUUCUUUGGAACAUGAUGGUCUGAUUCUUUUCUUUUCCAUGCUAUCCCACUGGGGUUAAUUCAAUCAAUUAACACCAAUACAUUUUGCCAUUCCCUCAAUGUAAAACUAAACUGUCAAAUGUAUGUUUUUCAUAGGAUCUUCCAAAACAUGUCAAGGAGAUCAGCACGUUUUUGGGCAUCAAUGUCACUGAAGAUCAAGUCAAAGACAUUUCAAAGAAAUCUUCCUUCAGUGAAAUGAAGGACAAGGCAGAGAAGGAGAAAGUGAAUCCAAACCACACGGUCUGCGUACUGACUUCCAACAAGAAGCUGAUAUUUAGGAAAGGUACUGUUGGUGACUGGAAAAAUCAUUUCACUUCCAAGCAGAAUGCCAAGUUUGAUGAGCUGUUCAGUGAAAAAAUCAACUCCAGUGAAUUAGCAAGACGUGUGGAAUAUGAGAGUUAGAAUAUAAAGACCAAUUGCACACUUAUUCUAUUAAUGAUGUAAAUAAACUGCAAUACUGCAGAAUGGGAUUUUCCAAUGUAAUCUCUUGUCAAAACUGACUCCCUUGUUAUUGGGUAAAAUCUGUAAGUCAUGUUACUUUCUGCUGGUAACAAGUCUGAUUCACUUUGUGUUGGUGAAUCAAAAGGAAAACAUUUUUUUGUAUUAAAUGUAUAAAUAUGCUUUUUUAAAAAUAAUAUUUAUUUAUUUAUUUAAUUAUUUGUGUAUGCGUUUGGAAUUGUUUUUUUCUUUUCAGUGGUUAUUUUCUGUACAGCAUUAAUGUAUAAUAGAUGUUAAAUUCUUGCACUCAAUAAAGAUUUACAAAUAACA